ensembl:antisense
ACACCGAUGCUUGCACUCCGGGGUCGGGACAAAGGCAUCACCUCUAGGUUCCUCCUGUCUGGGCACUCCGGCCCUGGCCCAAACCCUCUCCGGUUUCCCGAGCCCGACACUCCAGAGCACCGAGCCCUGGAGACGGAGGCCGCGAUUCAGGCCUCGGGUGAGCACCGGCGUCCUGGCGCUCCCGCGAUCCUGUCAGCGGCCAGCGGGCCUCACGGUCCCUGUAGGACUGGCGCGGCGACCCUCCGAGCCGGCGCCGCCAGACGCUCCGGCGAACCCGUCAGGUGCUGAGCGGCCGGGCCAAGCCCGCCGCCAGAUGGGAGCAGGGGCGGCACUUACCCGGCAGCGCCUCCUCCGCCCGCGGCAGCGACACAGCCGGCGGCCCUCCGCACCAUCUUCUGCCGCCGCCCUGGCCUCGGCGGCGGCUAUCAACCGCCCCUGCGGCGCCGCCAACCGACACAACCGUCGGCGCCGGGCCGCCGAGUACUCCGGCGAGGCCCGGAAGGAUGGGAGUCGGGCGCAGCCGCUGCUCCGGCCCCUCGGCUCCGCGCGGGGACCCGAGUCCGCCGGCCGAGGCACAGAGAGCUUGGCAGGGCUGGGUCGCGGCCGCCGUGGGGUUUGUUAUUGUCGACUGGGCCUUUCCGCCGCAGAGCACGCCGGGAAACAGCCAGCCGGGGGAGGGGUGACUCAGGUGUCUGCGCAGAUCCGGAAGUGGCUGGGCUGGCCGGACGGGCGCGGCUCGGUCGGCAAGCGUAGUCCCUGACUGGCAACUUGUCUGUCCUUCCCUGACCCUGGAAGGCAUUUCGGUGCUUGCCUUUGACGGCCCCAAGGUGAGCGCGACCUUCUGGCCGCGGCAGACCGACCUCGCCAAACCUGGGGCAGCCCCAGUAGAGGAACCGGAGGCUGAAGAGUGAGCACCAGCACAGAUCUGGGGCCCUCAUCUGCUGCCCCGAAAUCAGCCGACUGUCACCUGGGCCACUCGUACCGGGACUGCCAGAAUGGCAGGCUACUCAGAAAGUAUGCCUGGCAUCUGUGAUCUGUGCAAGGGUGGGGCGGCACAAAGUCAGACCAGGUAAGUAAAGAACACGUCCAGAAGAGGAACCGAAGCAAAGUGGACUGUACUGUAAGCGGCACGACCGAACAAUACUGAGGUCGAUAAUAGGUCAACAGCAUCAAGAUUAGAGAAGAGAAUGUCAGCUUGUGAGAACCUUGCAUUUGUAUUCGGGCUUAGGCAAGGACUUGAAGCUACAAAACUUGAGUUUGAUUAGCAGAUGUUUCAAGCAUACUCAUCAAUUAUGUGACGUAAACACGUAUUAAAUUACUAUUCCCAGGAAUAUCUGAUAGAGGUAAAAGUUUAGGAAUGGUCUCUCUAAACCAACAGUUAGUGGUUCCCGACAAAAUGAGACGUGAGGGGUAUUAAACUGAUUGAGAUCUGCAGUUCUUUAUUGUGAUAGACACUGGAAAAACAGUAGUUGUGUUUUAAGAGUUGUUUAGAAAGGAGCUUGUCGUUUAUUUCACUUUGUUUUUAACUUUGCACUUCUGCCAUAUCCCAAAAAAAUCUUGUAUGCACACUGUUAUACAUUUGAGUAUUUUUUUAAACUGGAAUUUUAGUACAUUACACCAGCAAAUAAAGCAAAAGUGAAAAAAGAACAAGCACUCAAUUUUUGUGCACCAGGGAGAGUAGUGAAUUGGCAAGACUAAAGAGAAGAAAAAUAGUUAGUAUAUUAACAUAUGUAUGCUAUAUUGCAGUCUAGCUAGAACUAUGAAGAUCAAAGCUGGCCGGGUGGUGGUGGUGGCAGCACAUACCUUUAAUCCCUUCUCUCAGAAGCUGAGGCCUGCUCUACAGAGUGAGCUCCAGGGAGCCAAGGCUACACAGAAAAAGUAAAAUCAGGGCUGGUGAGAUGGCCCAGAGGGUAAGGUGAUCUACUGACUACCAAAACUGACAACCCGAGUUUCAUCCUAGGACUGACGUCGUGGGAGGAGAAAACCACUCCUUGAAGUCCACACACACUAAAAGAGCACUAAAGAGCUGUGUUUCCUCACAGUUAAUAAGUGCCAUUGAAUAGCAGAGAUGUACUCCAGUUUCAAGUGUUAAAGUACCACUUGUCAUGUUGUAUACGUGUCCCUAACUUCUCUGGGAAACUGUUAAUACAAAUGUCUAUUACUUUAUACUCUGAAGUGAAUGUUUAGAGUUUAUAUGCAUCUCAAAUUACUUAGUAAGACUAAAGUGAAAAUAUGUUACAUGAAUUCUGCUAAACAACAUAGAUAAAAGUUAAUAAUCAUGCAUAUCCAUAAGUUUUCUGUCACAAGCUAUUUUCCCUCAUUCUCUUGAGCAUUCUAUUCUCCAUAAUAAACAAGAACAAACUCCUACAACACCAUGUGAAGCUUCUGGGCUUUUCUCAAUGAAACUUCAAACAGAUUUACAAGAACCAUAGAAUGAUCUUUUAUGGGGAGUGCAGAAACAUCAUUUCAACUUACUAAUGCAUGGGCCAUUCUGCCUUCCCCCUUCCUGUGUUAUCUCUAUCCUAUUGCUUGUAAACUCCCAUCCAUUUACUGUAUUCUUUUUCCCAGUUCUCAAUUAGAAUAUACUGUGGGUGAUGUGAAGAUUGGUUUCUGUAUAAGACUACUUAUAUUCUUGGCUUCCACUAAAUUUUUAAUUUAGUAUCUGUCAAUGCUUCAGUGAAUUUUCAAGGAAUAACUAAAAGUGCUUUUUAACAAGAACAGAACUGACUCCAUUCCUCCACAUGUAUGUGUGUGCAAUCAAUUGAAUCAAAUGUAAUUUUUAAAGUGAAUUUUUUUUAAUUUUAUAACUGUGGAGGGAUUAUGCAGUCUGAGUACUGCAAAUCAUUUGAAUUUUUAAGUCUGUUUUUCUCAGCUUAAACUUCAGUGUCUCCUAGUCUUUACCAGACAUGUCUGUAACUGGAUCUUUUAAGUGUUUAACAUGCUGAUUGUAAGCUCCUCUUUAAAUAUUAACCCCACCCAACUAACAUUUGUUCCUCUUCUUCUGUCUGGCCUUGUAUUAGCACUCAUUAUUUUUCUAUCAAGAACCACCCACUUAUGUCUCUUCCCUUCCUAAGGAUUGUCAGUGGUUUUGUUUUGUAAAUGGAUAAAACUUGAACAUAGCACAACAUAUCUUGUCUAGAUUGGGAUUAGGUACCAACUCAUCUCACACUAUACUUGAUUAAAUUCUCCUCUUCUUAUGAAUCUUUAAAUUGGAUGGAUUUUUAAAAUUCAUAGGAUUCUGGAGAGAAUGACACAAAUUAUGAGGCAUAUUAUAGAAUGCAAUAAAUUCUGUAAAUAUUAAAUGUUAAUAUUUAGUAUAAAUUUUAAUAUUUAAAGCCAAGUAAGUUUCUAUGAAAAAUUCUUGCCCUCAGAUGUCUUAAAGGCCACUCAAACAAAAGUGCAAGGAUAGUUGCUUCUGAGGCAGUAAUACUUUCUAUUCUUUAUUCUCCCAAUCCUAGUAUUGACCCACCAUUGAUUUUUUUAUCAUUAUCUAAUAGCUUGAAAAAACAUUUGAUUCUGUGACAGGAGCCAGAUCUUGAGAUCCAUACUAUAUUUUGAUUUCAUACUCUGGCAGUGCUUGUUAUUGUUUAUUUUUAAAAUGUACUUUUUUAUUGAAAAUAUGAAAUUUGUGUCUCUUGGAUUUUAUAUUACAGUUCUACUUAGCUGUCUUAACUAAUCUAGAUUUUAUCAUUUACCCUCAGUUUUACAGAUGAGGGAUUGAUUUAUGAAGACCAAUCAAUACACUUCUAAUUAGUGUUCCUUAGCGGAGUGUAAAAGUAAAACCAGGUGGUGAGUUCUAAGGCCAUAACCAUACUACACAAUCCUGCCCCUUACUUUGGUAUCAAUUCAAACUAAGGUCUUAAAAGGGUAUGAACUUGAAAGUUUAGAAGUAAACUAAGUUUCUCAGUGAUAGAACUGUUUUGUGGGCAUAGAGCAGCGAAUAGCUCAGUUAAUUCACAGGUCAUUCUGUGGAUGUUAUGAUUUUUUAAAAUGUAUUUUAGUAUUCUAUUUGGGUAUUCUCUCUGCAUGUAUGACAACAGUGCACCAUGUGCAUGCUUCAUGCUUAGAGAACAAAAGAUGGCACUGGAUCCUCUGGCACUGGAAUUACAGAAAGCUAUGGGUGCUGGGACCUGAACAUGCUCUUUGGAAGAGCAGCCAGUGCUCUAGGUGGCUGAGUCUAGAGCCCACUCUAGCCCCACAUUUUCGGAUUUUUGACAUCUCUGGCUUCCAUCACCUGAUACCAGUGAUACUCCUAGCCACAACUGUUUGUCUUCAGACCCCAGGACAAGGGGCUGAAGUGCAUAUUUUACAUACCAAAGCAGACCUGGCCUCCAGCUUCUCCCAGCAUCCCUCAGUCCCUACCUGGCAUACCCUGCCCCCAACUUUGAACUUUCUAGCUUAGGAGCUUGGACUGUUCUUCCCCUAGAGACUCUUCCCUAUAUAAUCCAUACAUUUUGCACCACCCUCGCUGGAUGUGCUCUUUCUCUCCCCCCUCCCCUCUUUCUCCC